GGCUAUAUAAUUCAGAUGUUUUUUGAUUUUAAAAUGUUUUGGUCAUUUUUUUUAAAAACCUUGUGUUGAAAUUCCGUCAUUUGUUUGGUUUCGAAUUCUGAACUCUAGACUUGUUUUGAAAGCCCAAAGGAAGGAGUUAACCCAAUGGAUUAAAGGCCCAGGUUUGAUUUGUCUUCGGUCAGUUUGACCCAAGUUAGUCCAGCACGGUAACUUUCAGGGGUAUGGGGGGUAACUUGGGUAGUUUACCUAGGUAAUAUUUCAAUA
rnacentral:lncRNA from 1 species